rnacentral:rRNA from 1 species
GAUUCUGGCUCAGGAUGAACGCUGGCGGCGUGCCUAACACAUGCAAGUCGAACGGGGUUAAGGGAAUUUCGGAUGGAACUUAACUUAGUGGCGGACGGGUGAGUAACGCGUGGAUAACCUGCCUCACACUGGGGGAUAGCAGCUGGAAACGGCUGGUAAUACCGCAUAAGACCACGGUGCCGCAUGGCACCGGGGUAAAAGAUUUAUCGGUGUGAGAUGGAUCCGCGUCUGAUUAGCCAGUUGGCGGGGUAACGGCCCACCAAAGCGACGAUCAGUAGCCGGCCUGAGAGGGUGAACGGCCACAUUGGGACUGAGACACGGCCCAAACUCCUACGGGAGGCAGCAGUGGGGAAUAUUGCACAAUGGGCGCAAGCCUGAUGCAGCCAACGCCGCGUGAGUGAAGAAGUAUUUCGGUAUGUAAAGCUCUAUCGGCAGGGAAGAAAGGCCCGAAAGGGAGAUGACGGUACCUGACUAAGAAGCCCCGGCUAACUACGUGCCAGCAGCCGC